GCCGUGCUGGAGGUCGUAUAAUAAGUUGUUUUUUCUAAGUGAUUAAUUAAAUGUUUUGUUAUGACAUGUUCCAUUAGUUUGCAACUGAUACAAGUGAGAGAGAUUGGUCUGUAGUUAACUGCGUUGUAUUUUUCACCUUUUUUGUAUGCUGGUGCGACAUUUGCAUGUUUCCAGUCAGAUGGUAUACAGCCAGAUGUAAGUGAUUUCUGGAAAAUAAUGGUGAGGAUAGGUGCCGUUAUGUUUUGAAGUUGUUUUAGAACUCUGCCGUUGAUGUUAUCUGGGCCAGUGGCUUUGUGCGGAUUGAUGUUGUGUAGGAGUUUUUGUAUGCCAGGUGUGGUAAUUGUGAGUGAUGGAAUGACUGGAUGGGGACUUGGUCCUUUAUCAGGCAUAUUACUUGCUGUUUCGGUGGUAAAGACUGAUUGGAAUUGCUCAUUUAAAAUGUUGGCUUUUUGUUUUGUAUCAGUUGUUAAUUGUCCCUCUUUUUUCAGGGGAGCAACUCCACUAUUGUCAGUUCUGAUGGAUUUAAUGUAAGAAAAGAGUUUUUUCGGUUUUGAUUGGUUGCUGUAACUUUGGUCAGGGUCAUUUGUUGGAAGGUCAAGGAUCAUUUUUUCUAUGUAUGUACAAUAGGCACGUCUCUGUUCUUGUUGGACUUGUUGUUUAAGUUUUUUAUAUUUAAGUAUAUGCUUUUUGUCCUUUUUCAUUUUAGAGUACAAUUUAUUCUUUUUAUUUAUCAUUUUUCUGAGUUUGUUGUGCACCCAGGGAAGUCGGUGUUUAUAUGUUAACAUUUUAUGUGGGAUGUUUGUAUCUAUUGAUUUUGUGAUGUUGUUUUUAAAUAAAUCCCACAUUUCGUUUAUAGUACUGUUGUUGUUGUUAUUCAUAACAGUAAGCUCUUCAAGUGUUUUUUGAAGGUCUGCUUCUAUGUUUUCCCAGUUCGCUUUGUCGUAUUUGAGUAUAUUUUUCUAGGUUGUUGUCUGAUUUUACGAAGCCAAGUGUCAAUUUCUAUGUAGACGAUGUCAUGGUCACUUAGUCCUAGUGGUGGAAGUGUGUUUACUUUGUUAACAGUUGUUGGAUUGUUAACUAGGAUUAAGUCUAAUAUUCUUUCUUUUCUAGUUGGUGUAUUAACUAUUUGUUGAAGGUUAAAAUUUUCUAGUAAUUCUAAAAGUUUAUUAUGAUGUUCAGCAUCCGGUUUACCCGGGUUGACCUGAGGUAUAGACCAGUCAAUAUGACCUAGGUUAAAGUCACCACCAAUCAUGAUAUUAGUAUUUGAUGAUUGGUUGAUUCUACUAAGUGAUAGUUCUAGUUGUUGUAAAGAUGUUCCUUUAUCUGAUGGUGGUCUGUAAUAUGCACCUAUUAACAAGUUCUUACUACCAGUCAUGUUUAUUUGAGACCAAACUAUUUCACAGUCAGUUUUAAGUUUGCUUACUUCUGUGCUUAUAAGUUCUUUAUUAAUAGCAAUAAGUACACCUCCAUGACUUUGGUUAUUUUUAUUUGGUGGUCUGUCUGAUCUAUAGACAUUAAAUAGUUCUGAUGGAAAGAAUUCAUAUGAUGAUAUAUUUUUGUCUAGCCAUGUUUCAGUGCCUAUGAUUAUAUCAGGUUUAGAUGAAUCAAUUAACUGAUUGAGAUCUUCUUUUUUAUUUCGUAUCGAUUGAAAGUUUAUGUUAAGUAUCCUGAUAGGUUUUUGAUUUUUAGUAGUGGCUUUUUGUGAUGUUUUGACUUUCGGUUUUGAUUUAGUCUUAGCCAUAGGCGAUGAAGAUGCCUGAGGAGCACCUAGGCUGUUAUUGAGUGAUGUAUCACUCAUACUCCAGUUACUACUAGAAUUUAAUGAUAUGCUUGAUUGGUUAUUGAAUAAGCUAGUGGAGAAAUUUGGCAUUCCACAAUUUGUGCAUUCCCAGCUAAUAUUACUAGCAUUCAUACACUCGUAGAUGUGAGAUGGAAUACUCUGACAGUUAAUGUGAAACCAAGUAUCGCAGCUGUCGCAGCAUAGUGCCUUUUGAUUCCAGGUUACUGCUUUUAGGCAUGUACCACAUGGCCAUCGUGGUUUUUUG
rnacentral:lncRNA from 1 species